CGUUGUCUAAAAGAGAAUUGAGAAAUGCUCAUUACAAGAUGGGAAACAUUUGUAUUCUUACUUUUACUCUUAAUUUUUUCUUCUGCAUGGUGCUUAUUUUGCAUUCAGGUAACACAUUUUUUUGAAGUCGUUGCAUUUUUGGUUCAUAUAUGUAUGUAGCAUAUGGUAAUAUGGUUUCAAAAGUAUCCUAGUGUUUUAUGUGAUAACCUGCAGAAAGUUCCAAUGGAGUUUUUGAAGAAAUUGAAUGAAGACUUGUCGAGUAAUGCAGUUAUCAGUAGCUCUUCUUCUGGUGACAAGUUGCAAUUAAGUGUUCUAAAGAAAGGAAGCCAAGUGUAUAUGCAAAAUGGUUGGCCAAAGUUUGUGACAGAUAACUCAAUUGUGCUUCAUGUACUGCUUUUUACAUAUCAUGGAGAGAAUUGUUUCCAUGUUCAAAUUUUUUAUAAGAAUGGAGUGGAGAGGUUAUGCCUUAAAGAAACAACACAAGAAAAAAAAAGGUAACUAACGUAUGUUAAUUAUCUGACAAAUUUGAUUUGUCCAAAUAUUUUGAAAGAAACAAUAUGAAACAACAUUGCAGAUUUGAUGUUUGUGUUCCCCUUUCCUCCAACAUAUCUCAUUUUCUUAAACUUUUGUUUGAGGUUUGGGAACAGAUAUGCCUUGCGGAAAUAAAGGAAUCAGUUUUACUGGUAGUGAGACAAUGAAAACAGGACAAAAACAAAUUGCCACCCCAAGUUUGGCAAAGAAGAACAAAGAAAGAAAAUUUUCUCCUGGAAAGUCUCAUCAAGAAGUGAUAAGUCUCAACUUGAAAGGUACAAAUCCUUGGCAAUCAUGAAUCACCCCUGUGCUCUAUAGAUUUAAAUGCUGCAGAGCUACUCGGGAACCAACAUCUUCAACCUUAUGUUCUUAAGGUCCAUCUCAAAAUCAAUAGCCCAAGGCAAAGUACUUUGCUAGGUCAUUGGCAAGAAGCUAACUACAUGAAGAAAGCUAGACUUUUGAAGUCAGAAGAUGAUUGUCUUUCUGUCUCUGGGUAUAAGUGGCAUUCUAUUAGCAAUGAUAGGACUUUCUAUUGGAGACAACCACGAUUUGAAGUCACAGCAUAAGUUAGCUGUUUCGAGAACUUCUAGUAAUGCCAGGUCUCUACGCUAACUACAUCAAAAACUUCUACCACCCCUAAGAAAUCAAUGUUAUCCCAAUGGGAUUGCUGGGGCCACCAACGUCUUAGUUCCUGUUAAAUCAGACAUUGCGAACCAACAGUUACACACACUUCAUGGUGUUCCUUCGCCUUUUCUCUUUAUGGGAUUGCAUUUCUAGGUGCAUUUUAUCUCUUUUGAACUGUUUAAACUUACUUUUACUCCAAUUAAAGUAGUCCUUUAUCUAUUAUCUUUCAUUUGAACCGAUUAAAAUGAGUUUUCGUUGUGUUUUGGUGCAGU